rnacentral:rRNA from 1 species
GCAGCAGGCGCGCAAAUUACCCAAUCCUGACACAGGGAGGUAGUGACAAGAAAUAACAAUACAGGGCUAAUGUCUUGUAAUUGGAAUGAUGGUGACCCAAACCCUCACCAGAGUAGCAAUUGGAGGGCAAGUCUGGUGCCAGCAGCCGCGGUAAUUCCAGCUCCAAUAGCGUAUAUUAAACUUGUUGCAGUUAAAAAGCUCGUAGUUGAAUUUUAGCGUGUUCGAGUUUGCCAUUCGUUUG